GCUUACCACUUUGUGAUUCAUGACUGGGGUGAAGUCGUAACAAGGUAACCGUAGGGGAACCUGCGGUUGGAUCACCUCCUUACCUGAAAGAAGC
rnacentral:rRNA from 2 species